rnacentral:rRNA from 1 species
AUACGGGAGGCAGCAGUGGGGAAUAUUGGACAAUGGGCGCAAGCCUGAUCCAGCCAUGCCGCGUGUGUGAAGAAGGCCUUCGGGUUGUAAAGCACUUUUGUUGGGAAAGAAAAGCGGUCGGUUAAUACCCGGUCGUUCUGACGGUACCCAAAGAAUAAGCACCGGCUAACUUCGUGCCAGCAGCCGCGGUAAUACGAAGGGUGCAAGCGUUACUCGGAAUUACUGGGCGUAAAGCGUGCGUAGGUGGUUUGUUAAGUCAGAUGUGAAAGCCCCGGGCUCAACCUGGGAAUUGCAUUUGAUACUGGCAGACUAGAGUGCGGUAGAGGAGAGUGGAAUUCCCGGUGUAGCAGUGAAAUGCGUAGAGAUCGGGAGGAACAUCAGUUGCGAAGGCGGCUCUCUGGACCAGCACUGACACUGAGGCACGAAAGCGUGGGGAGCAAACAGGAUUAGAUACCCCGGUAGC